CGGCUGGGCAGUGGGAGCACCGGAUGUAGCACCAUGGCCGCUUUUGGGAGCACCCCAGCCGCUUCCCAGUCGGGAACUGGAUGAGUCGAAGAAUACCAAGUCUUCACCUUUAGGUCACAAGUUUCAACCAGACUCAGAUUCUCAGAAGAUAGCUGCUGGCAUUACAGAGCCCUCUCCCACACUGGCAGUAAAUGACACUGCUGUUGGUAGCCCCA